AUAAAGGCACUCAAGUUAAAGAAUGUAACAACCUUGAACAAGGAUUCCAAAUAGAAUAGCAGGACCUUUAUUUUUAAACUCGUGCGCUCUUAACUAAAGCGGAAGAUCUCAAACAGUGUAAAACCAUCGGGACAAGCCACAACAGCCCCAAAAAGGGUGAAGCAAUCACCCAUAAAAUCAAUUAUAAGCCAAAGAGGGGAGCCUUAAAGAGCCAUGGCUAAUAACCCCAUUGGAGUCAAUCUUUCUCAACCCUAUUCCAAUUUUUCGGGGAAGCAACUAUGACAUAUGGAGCAUGAAGAUGAAGACUUUGUUCAUAUCCCAAGAAUUAUGGGAUUUGGUGGAGAAUGGCUGUGUUGAAGAAGGAGUAACAGCUGAUUAUGUUUCUAAUUUAAUUGAUGUUGUCAAUCAAAUUAGAAAACUUGGUGAAAAUUUGAGUGAAAAGAAAGUGGUUGAGAAAAUCCUUAGGAGUUUGCCUAAGAAAUAUGAUCAUGUUGUGGCUGCAAUUGAAGAGUCAAAAUACUUGAAUGAGUUAACUGAUGAUGAGUUAUUAGGUUCUCUUUAUUCUCAUGAAGAUAGAAUGAAAAGAUAUGAUGAUACUCCUGUUGAGAAUGCUUUUUACAGCAAAACGCGGACUUAUCAUGGUGAAAAAAGUACUGGUGAAUCAAACAAUCAUGGAAAUUUCAACAGAGGGCAUGGUGGACCGUCAUCCCAUGGGAGAAGAGGAGGUCCAAGCGGUUGUCAUUCUUCUGAUAACAACCAGUGCCAUGGAAGCUAUGACAAAAUUAAAAAUGGAAGUCCAAAGCAGUGUUAUUUUUUGCAAGAGGUGCGGGCACAUUAAGAGGUUCUAUUUUUGUAGGAUGAAAGAGAAGCAGGCUAAUCUAGCCAAGGAGAAAGAGGAGGACGAGACAGAAAGCCUAUUCCUUGCUUGUUUUUCUGCAAAAGAAUGUUCUACAGAAGCUUGGUAUGUUGACAGCGGUUGUAGCAAUCAUAUGACAAGCAACUUGAGCUCUUUCAUCAAUUUGGAUAAGUCAGUCUCAAGCCGAGUCGCAAUGGGUGAUGGGACUGUUCGGGUAGCUCAAGGAAAAGGUACUGUACAACUGAACUCUCUUGAGUUAAAUUGCAUUCACAAUGUUUUGUAUGUGCCAGAUUUGGACUCAAAUCUGUGAAGUGUGGGGCAAUUUAUGUUGGAGGGGUAUUCACUUGUUUUUGAAGAUUUUGCUUGUUGUAUUUUCAAGGAUAAAUCUAAAGAACAUCUGUUGGCCAGUAUUCCUAUGGCCAAAAAUAAGAUUUUUCCUUAUUAUCUCACUUCAAAUGAUAAACAAGCUUUAAUUUGAGGGCUGCUUCACUUGAUGACGAAUGGUUGUGGCAUCAUAGAUAUGGGCAUUUAAAUGUUAAAACCUUGAAACUCAUGCAUGAGCAGAAUCUAGUUGAUGGCUUGCCAUUAAUAAAAAAUGUUGAUAAUGUGUGUGAAAAUUGCAUGGUUGGAAAGCAACAUCGUGACCCUUUUCCAAAGGGUAAGGCAAGAAGAGCUCCAAAACCAGCAGAACGGAUUCAUGCCGAUGUUUGUGGGCCAAUGAGCACUCUGUCUCUCAAUAAGAACAGUCUUCGUACGUCUGAUCGAGAUGAAAACAUAAUGGACCGAAGAAAGUCUUCGUAAUAUCGAGAUGGGAUCCAAAAAAGGCACAAACGGGCUUCGAGUUUCAGGAAUAGGUCAAAUACUGUGGUCGAAGUUAUUAUCGAGCUCGAGUCCGAAUCGAACUAUGAUGAGAUAUGAUGGAAUCGCGCUUAAGGGCCAGAGGUCAACCAAUACCGAGCCCAAGUCAUUACCGGACCCCGAGUCAGCAUCAAGCUCAAACCCGCAUCGAGCUCAAACCCGCAUCGAGUUCUAAAACUGGAAACCGACCAAUACUGAGUCCGAUCAAGAUCGAGCUCAUAGACAAGAGCCGUUGCAGCCGCACUAAGGGAGAGAAUCUCGGCGGAAAUUAGAAAAAAAUUGAUUUAUCAUGGUUCCCCACUAUGUAUUUUUAAUUAUAUUUAAAGUAGGGUUCCCCCACUAUAAAAGGGAUGACGAUAUUCCUGUAAAAGACCAAGUUUUGGCAUACAUUGUA